GGCAGGACUGGAGGGGAGCCCGGGAGGCAGCAUUAAUUCCCGAGUCGUCUUUUCCACUGUAGCCAUCAGGGCUUUUAUCGACCCCCAACGCGUACCUGCGGGGGCAGCUUGAGUCCACCACACAAAGGGCUCACAGUACCAAAGUCUGGGCCCACCAAGCUCUGGCAUUUUGGUGACCCAUCAAGCUCUGCUUGCCUGGCAUCCCCCACAUAGGACGGUCGUCCUCUCUAGGACUUAGGAUCCCCGCAUCCCUCUGUGAGGCUGUCUGCCUUUCACUUCUUAAGGAAGGGCGGUAAAAUAGAUGUAACAUACAGCCUACCAUUUGAGCUGUUUUUGAGCGCACAGACAGGGCUGUUAAGUACGUGCCCAGUGUAUAAUCUAUCGAAAGAACCGUUCUCACUUUGCAAAACUGAAACCACGUAGCCAUUAAACAACAACUCCCCCAUCCUUCCUCCCCUGAGCUCCCGGCAACCGCGGUUCGAUUUUCUCUAAGAAUGUGAGCAUCUCCUGUAAGUGGAAUCAUACAGAGUUUGUCUUUUUGUGACUGGCCUAUUUUCGGUUAGCUUGAAGUCUUCAGGGUUCACCCAUGAUGUCGCCUGUGUCAGAAUUUCCUUCCUUUUUAAGGCUGAGUAAUAUUCCAUCGGGCGUAUAUUCCGUGAUGUUUAUCCGUUCGUCCUUCGAUGGGCGUGUGGGUUGCUUCUACCAUUUGGCUCACGUGAAUAGUAUUACUCUGAACAUGGGUGUGCAAACAUCUGUUCAAGAUCCUGCUUUCUGGAGUUCCUGAUUCUUCUGGGUGUACCCAGAAGUGGGUAUUGCUGGACCAUAUGCUAAUUCCACGUUUAAUUAUAGAAGGUCUUCUCUUGCACUUAGGUCUCAGGCACAGAGGGCUUUCUACUCAGGAAGGCGCCCCCAGUCAAGGCCAACCACCAAUGCACAACCAACUUUCUCAUUUAGGUGUCCCUGACAUUUGCAGGGCCCAGGGUAAGAGUGUACAUGGAGGGCCAAGGGCCAUGUAACUAAAUAUUUAAAAGUGAUAGACCAUAGCUAACAAUCUGCUAAAUAAUAAUUUUUUAUCUUGUACCUUGUCAAAUAUGUUGUCAUUAACAGUAAAAUUUAUGAAACUGUGGUGGUUAUAUGACUAAAAGUUGGCAAUAUAUCCAAGCCAACUGAAUUUAAUUAUGAUUGCUCAUGCCAGAAUGUUCUAUCGAUGGGCCGGAGGUACAUGUAACACAAAGAUGUACAUAAUUCACAAACAUUAGCUAUGGAUUCUCCAACAUUUAUUUUUUCUUAUCUUUGUUUCAGCAAAGUCACUAUUCUGUUAUGUUAGUGAUUUUUCAUACAGUUUGCGUUUUGCGGACGGUGAUGCUAUUUUAACAUUUCAGAUGUAUUUUCAUCACAAAGUCUAAUAAGUAAGGCUAAAAAUUCAAAAGUUAACAUUAUUUCCCCCAUUUUCAUAAGCUUCCUCCCUUAAACCCACCAUUAUUAAAAGCAAAAGGCAAAAGGACAGAUUACAAGGGAAGGGUGUAAAGGUUUCGGAACAGAAAUAAUUACUGAAAUUAGUAUCAAAAGUCAAAUAACAAUUAUUUACAACAUUGUAAAUAUCUUUUGUUGAAAAUCUAAUUACAUCUCACUCCACGUUGUUAUGUAAAAGUAAAAUGAUUUGCAUGUCUACUGUCCUCUGUCCAUCCCGUCCAGUUGCUAGCGUUGGGAAUCAGUACCCCUGAAUCAGUAAGAAGGUCUUUCUACUCCCCCAAACUUACAUUUGUAUAUUUAAGGGUAAGAUGGCUUGUUUAGUAUUAUAAAAUAUUCCUCGGCUGUCAUGUGUAACAGUUGGAAAACCCAUGCUAAUUUGUGAGUAGCUUUGGAACCACCGGUUGGAACACAAAGAGAAGAUACUUCGUUAUGCAAGAAUCUAUGGCAGUUAGGCAGUUUGAGAGGAAGUUUUUGACAAGCUAAUGGAUUUAUCUAAAGCUUCUUCCUCUCAAGUUCUCCCAGCACUUUGAAGCAGGGUCUGUUCAUGUUGGCGGUGUCACAAUCCACAGAUUGUGCUGGAACACAGUUGCCUUUGAGGGAGUGAGCAGGAUCGGAGAGAGGCACUUCCCUAGGGCUGGAGCGGAGUUGGGAGGGAGAGAGGAUAUUUGGAGUUGGGGCAGGAACCUCCAGCCCGGCUGUCCUGAGGCUGCUCCCAAUAUGGGCUUAGGCUACUGCCGCUUGCUUUUCUAAUUAGCAUAGUGACCAUGGGAAACGGGGAUUCUAUUACUGAAAUCACGGCUUGUUGAUUAGCUUGAUGAAUGCAAGGAAGGGCUUCCUGAUGAAAUUGUAGGUACUCCUACAACUGGAGUACUUCAGAGGCUCCCCGACUUGCAGGAACAGAGCCUAAGACCCUGGAUCCAUGGGAAUGGCUCCUGAGGCUGGAUUCUAGCACAGUCCUGUGGCCAGCCACGGGUCUGGAGGACUCCCGGAGCUGCCUGAUGCCAGCUACAAGGUGACAGGGCUGCCAUCACAAAGACCACAACUGGUGAAGUCACCAAAACAACAGGCCUUACUCUCUGACAGCCCCGGAGUCUACAAGUCUGAAACCAAGUAAUGCCGGGCACCAUUGUCCUCCCUUGAUGACCACAAUUGAUUCACCCAUUCUAUGGUCUCAAAGCAAGAGAGAAAGACACACACAAAGACGCACAACUGUGGAAGGGGCGGAGAGGCAAGGAGACACAGAACCCAAAGCAGGCUCCGGGCUCUGAGCUGUCAGCACAGAGCCCGACGCGGGGCUCGAACUCACAAGAUCACGACUUGAGCCAAAGUCAGACGCUCAACGGAUUAAGCCACCCAGGCGCCCUAAAGCUCAAGGUUGGUUUAAGGCAAGUAACUGGAAGUUAUGUUUACCACCUGGGCAUGUUUCGCUCUUGGCAAGACAGAUGUGAUUUUUUUUUUUUUCCUCUCCACCACCCUGGCUUCUUGCCUCCAUUACGUCUCUUCUUCCCCUUGGGACCCACCGCUGGACUGUUCACACUUUCCGGAGUCUGGGGUGGCUGCUGAAUGCAGCAGGUAAGAGCCUUGCAGGGGGUUGAGAGAGAGAAGACGGAAUCCCUUUCUUGGUCUCUUCAGAGUUAUUACAGACAGUGGGGUCAUUGGCUGCAGGGAAUGAAUUGAAUAUGAUGAGCCCAGAACUGCUAAGAAAUUACCCGUCCCGGGGCUUUCUGGAAAAGAGUGCUGCAGAUUGCUUUUCCGGUUUGCCGUUCUUUCUCUAGGGCUUUGGUCGGUGGGGCUGCCGAGGCGGUCGGUGUCCACGUGGUCACACACGGGUCACACACACGCAUAGAGUAUGGCUAGGCGAACACAUAACCCGCCACUUGUGGGUCGUUUAACUGAAGAAUCUACGUGUCAGGAUGUUCCCACUGCAAUUCUGAAGGCUGUGGCUGUUUUCUGAGGCUCUGGGUGUCUCUAGGAAGAGGACUGUUGAAUAUUCCAGAAUGUGUCUUUUAUUGGGAACGCGGUGAUUGCAAGCACGUGUGAUGUGGCUGUUCUUUUACCUGAUGAGAGGGCCUGAGAGAACAAAGACCUCAGGAGGUACGUGUGCGUUUGUUGUUCAAACUGAUGAAGCUGGUCCCCGACAUCCCGUCCUGUCCCGACGUUGGGCUGAAAUGCAGUCAUCCUGUGUGCGUCUUGACGUCUGCCCUGCACGUUCUUUUCCCAGUAAGACAGGCGGUUAUUGUUUUGUGAAAAUGCCCGAAACGUCCACAUUCUGAGGUACGUUCUCCGGCAGCGGGGGAAAUCUCUCCCAAUCUCAUUUGUUUGGAGCCCUCUGCCCAGUGCUUCCCCGUGAGCCCCAAAUGGUGCCUUGGCCUUCCCCUUGAUGGAUUCAUUGUUUUGAUUUAAGUCACUGUGGCAGAACAUCUGAAGUCAUCUGCAGCUGCUACGCUGAGAUUCAAAGAAGCAGUCAUUAACCCUUACAAAGAGCCACACGAAGGCACCGGGGCCUUCCCAAUAUUCUAUGUGUCAGUGACCACGGUGUGAGUCAGAUUUCUGUGUCGCAUUUAGCAUUCGUUUGGUAUUUGCAGAGGAGUUUUUAGCUCUCUCGCGCAUCCAGUAAACACACGUUUCUUAAACCCUUACAAGGUGCCAGGUAUGGACCACCCUAAAUAUGCCACUUUGGCAUACGGAUUAUUCUGAGCCGAAAGCGAUCGAGAAUCAGUGGAUGCAGGGGGAGUUCUCUUCUCUCCCCUUUUCUGCCUAAAGUUGGCACAGAUCUCCCCCAGUGAAGGUGUCCCCCCUCUCGCAUACCAGGAAGAGGAAAGCAACUUACCACCGGAGAGGAAGAGCUGGAAUGGAAAUAAAUCCGCAUAAGUAAACCUCACUCGAAUACCCUGUACCUUCCAAAAGUUCCCCUGUGUGUAUAUUUCCCAGUCACUUUCUCACAAUUUUUCAUCUCUUGGAGCCCAAACCCCCUUUCUGUAGCUAAUAUGGUAUGUAAGCCCCUGAGUCUCAUCACUUGAUUUUGAGUCUCUUUUUUGUGAACUCCCGUGCACAUAAAAUAUUGAGAAAAUGUGUAUCCCUUUCCUUCUGUGAAUGUGUAUUCCUUUCCUUCUGUCUUUUGUUAGUUAAUUUGCAAGCCUCCAUGUUAAGAACCUAAGAGGGUAGAGCAAAAGUUUUUCCUUCCUGACUCAGGCAAGGAAGUCGGGUCUUGUCCUUAGUCUCACUAAUCUCUAGGUGCCUUAAGGAUUUCCCCAGCUUUCGUGAAAACUUUUGGUUCAUGGGCACUGGGGAAGAAAUUCUGCUUCUGGAGAGGUGUUGGCAACGUGCAGUGCUGUUGCCUGAGCCUCAGACAGGCUUUUGGGUGGAAGGUUCAUUCACUCUCAGGUCCUUGGCCUCCAGAACACCGAGGGGGUAGGGCUGGGGACUUUGGCAUGGACAGUAAUGCCAUGAGGUAGUCCCUAUGGUGACCAGAGUCUCUCAUGCUGUUGGAGCAGGAUCCACCUUAGAUGUUUGGAGCAGGGACCCCAAGUAUUGGUCUUUUACAUUUAUAUGUUUGGAUAUCCUCAAGAGCUGUUGUUUUGUAGGCGAAAGGCAAUUCUGUAGUUAAUUUCAUCGUUAUAAAUUAACAUUUUAUUUGCUAGUAACAAAUUUCAAAAUCUAGAUCCUUUUUUUUUAAGUUUAUUUUGAGAGAGAGAGAGAGA